ensembl:lncRNA
GUGGGCUUGCCAAAAAUGAACAUUUCAGAGAGACCAGUCAAGGUUCCUCUUUUCUGUCCUGGGUAGGCUAAGUGUGAAAAUGUGGACCUGCCUGCUUGUUCAGAAAUGUUAAGAUGUCACAACAGUGCUGUCAGCUUUAUUGUGAAUUUUGGACAUAGUUCUGGGAAGGAGUGUUCUGAUUGGCUUUUCAGUUAAUAACUAAAUUAUUCCAGGACAUAUCAUUAAAGGGUUAGUUCACGCAACUUAAUACAACUUCCAGAUAAUGUAAACACAGAUUAAGUGUGUACAUCUGCGAUAAACUACGUUAAAAAGAUAAAUUAACACAUUUUAUAAGCAGUUACUAUGGUACUUUUUUGUUAAGAAUAACUUUGUUCCUGUGUUGUGUCAAACAAUACAGGUUAGUCGGUCGAUAAAAUUACUCAACGACUCAUUUGAAGUAUCGGGAUGAAAUGGUGCUGUAGGAAUGUGUCUUGUCAAGUCUUUAGGGUGUUUGACUUCCAGUCAAAAGCUCAACAGUCUGUUGGCCUGCUUGAUCAAGACGGCGUGACCCCGACCUGCCCUCAAUGACAGCAUCUUGAAAGGUUUCAAUGUUUCAAGAGGAGCCCUUGGGAAUCGCAGCCAUUUACCCACGUGCCUAGAGCGUUCAGUGCACACGUGUCAACUUCCUCACAAAACUCUACUGGGAAUUAGCAUGGAUCACAAAAAUACAGAUGCAUUAAAACAUUGCUUGAAAUGCUAUCAAGAUACAUUGUUGGAAACAAAUGCAGAUGCAACAAACCAGAGCGGAGAUAUGAAUUCAAUUCAAAGUGACUUACAGUGGAUUCAGAUAUAAGUCAUUAAUGAGCAGGUCUUCAG